UACGUAGGGUGCAAGCGUUAAUCGGAAUUACUGGGCGUAAAGCGUGCGCAGGCGGUUAUGUAAGACAGAUGUGAAAUGCCCGGGCUUAACCUGGGAACUGCAUUUGUGACUGCAUGGCUAGAGUUUGGCAGAGGGGGGUAGAAUUCCACGUGUAGCAGUGAAAUGCGUAGAUAUGUGGAGGAACACCGAUGGCGAAGGCAGCCCCCUGGGAUGAGACUGACGCUCAUGUACGAAAGCGUGGGGAGCAAACAGG
rnacentral:rRNA from 1 species